AUACGGAGGAUGCGAGCGUUAUCCGGAUUUAUUGGGUUUAAAGGGAGCGUAGGUGGGAUAUUAAGUCAGCUGUGAAGGUUUGGGGCUCAACCUUAAAAUUGCAGUUGAUACUGGUUUCCUUGAGUACGGUACAGGUGGGCGGAAUUCGUGGGGUAGCGGUGAAAUGCUUAGAUAUCACGAAGAACUCCGAUCGCGAAGGCAGCUCACCGGGCCGGAACUGACACUGAUGCUCGAAAGUGCGGGUAUCAAACAGGAUUAGAUACCCUGGUAGUCCGCACAGUAAACGAUGAAUAUUCGCUGUUUGCGAUACACUGUAAGCGGCCAAGCGAAAGCGUUAAGUAUUCCACCUGGGGAGUACGCCGGCAACGGUGAAACUCAAAGGAAUUGGCGGGG
rnacentral:rRNA from 1 species